CAGGGCUCAGGAAGUAAACACCACGUUUCACUUCCUCUGCAAACACUGCCCAUCUGAGAAACUCAUUUCCUUUUCUCCACAUAUCUUUCCCAGCUGUGCAGGCCCUUGGCGAGCCGGGGUCAGACUUAAUAAAAUAGGAGGGGUCCGGGUAACCGGCUUUUAGUGGUGACAGUGCCCACAGUGCUUCACUGCAUGGUCAGAAUGUACCUGUGCUCCGAGAGGAUACGGAUUUGAGAUCGCUCCCAAGCUUACUUCCCAGAGAUGGAUCACAUAGGAACAGACAAUGAUUCUUAUUAUCUUAUUUACAGUAUUCUUUUAUAGAAUCCAAGAUGUCACAAUAAUGAUUGCAAAAAGCAUUGUUAUUUAAGUACCCACAAAAAAGAAAACACUGUCAAUGAUGUUAUACUAUUGAUUUUAAGGUACACCUCAAUCUUUGAAUUACUGAAUUGUGAAAAGAUGGCAUCGUCUUCUUAGCGCCAAUGAAAUAUGCUAUUAGGUUUAUGGUCAGCUCAGUGCUAGUGGAAUGGAGCCAUGGAAUAAAUAAUCAUAACAAUGACAGUGGUUUAUGUAUUAUUUGUAAUGUGUUUAUUUAUCUGUAACUUGAUUUAAACCUUGUGGGGUCACCCUUCUCCUUAACAUUUAAGAAAAACUGGUUCCAGGUCAAGUGCAAUAUGUAGGGAGCCCUAGCAAGGCCCUGCUCCCGUGCCUGGGGAUUGCUGGGACUGGUUUCUCUUAGGGAUCUCCUGCACCGACUUCCUACUUCCACUGAAUUUUCCUGCCUGCCAUGUAGUGAAUUGCCACUCCUUUUUCUAAAUUGUGGUGAAAGACAUAUAAUAUGAAAUUUACCAUUUUAACCAUUGUAAAGCAUACAAUUCAGUGGUGUAGUACAUUUCUGCUGAAUUCUUGCUCUCCCUCUGUCUUUCCUCCUGUGUGUGGUUUCUUUUCUCUGUCCCUUGUGGAGUCCACAGAGUAACCUAGCAUUUUCCUGUGAUUGUCCAAACCAGCCUCAAACACAGGCUGGUGGGUGUAGCUGAUGUUUACUAAACAUUCGAAGGAGUCAGAAGGGCCCAGCAUUGCCUCUAAAGCUCUCCCUUCUGCUGGCCGCUGGGAGACACCAGCUGCCUUGGCCCUGGGUCUGCCUCCCAAGGUGUUCCCAGGCUUUCUCUCAGGCCUUCCCGCCAGCAACUUGUUGGGCUGCCAAACUCCUGACUUCCUCACACAGAGCAAUUUCCCUAUCUUCCCUAGUUCAUUUCGACCACCCUGGAGUUUUUAUGGUUCAUAGGUAUUCUCCAUAUAAAGACCACCUUGCCCCAAGAGAGAUCAUUGUGUCAUUUUCCCAGUCACAGAGAAACCUGCCCCAGUGUCAGAGAUCUGCCACCUGGUUGCUUUAGACUCAGCUGUAUUGUCGUCUCUGCUCCCCCGAGGAGCUCACAUUCUGCAGCCAGCCAGCGUCACAUGUACAAACAACGGUCAUACUCUGAUAAGGGGGGCUCUGAACCUUCAGGAGAAGAGAGGAGUGGCCCUAACCCCAUUAAGGCCAGAUGCUGCAGGCUGUCAUUGCUGAGUUCCCAUUUGUCCAUCUGGUACUUACUCCCUAAUUUCCCUUUGGGAAUCACACCUCCCCUGCUCUCACUCCCUUUGGUCUGGGUUGGGCUGACUCUUUCCCCAAGGCUCCAGGGAUGGGCACAUGCCUCAGGGCUGUCUGGCCCAUCAGAGCAUUUCUAACAGUGAAUGGUUCAGGGACAGGCAUGGGAUCCAAUCCAGGCCAGGGAAGAUAAACGCUGGGCCUUGUCCUGGAAUGAUUGGGUCAGAGAUGCUCUUACUUUGCUGGGGCUGCUCACUGGUAGGAUGGGAACCUGAGAUGCUGGUCGUCAUCUGGCCACCACAUGGAGUGAGCCUGCUGGAGAAUGAAGACAAGUUGGAGAAAAGCAGGAAUAAGAGCUGGAGAUGACUGUAUACCAGGUGUGAAGCCCACUUCCAAAAGCCAAAAUAUCACUUUCCUGCAUAAACCAACUUGAGCUAGGCUUUUGUGGAUUACAACUUUAAGAGCCCUUAGCAGUUGGGAAGGCUGCAAAGGGGAGGUGACAACUGAGUAGGGCCUUGGAGGAUAAGUAAAAGUUUGCAGGUAGAGAAAGUAAGAAGCAUGUUCUAGGCAGAAUGGGCACGCCUGUGUCAGGUGAGCCUGGUGGGAAGGCAGGAGGUAGGAGGCUAGAAAUAGGGGCGGCAGCUGGAUGACGGAGGUCUUGAGUAUCUUCCUCAGUAAUAGAGACAUGGUCCUGGAGCUGGCUCCUGUGCAGGGGUUCAUGAUUCUCCUUGCUGCGGAUGAAGUGAGAUGUUGGACACGUUUGCAUUUCAGGGACCCCAGUGAGAGUACCACACAGGUCAUGAGGCUAAGCUCCCUCAGGGACACAGAGGAGAACUUAGCUUGGGAAGCCACUGGGCUGAUAGGUAAGGCAAUGAAGGGACAAACUGCUGGUUUUGACUGGGCCACCUGCACACCCAGGCCCCCUUAAAUGUCCUCCCAGCUCAGUUUUCUGAGAACCCAGAGGUGAGAGGGUUAGCCUGGGACUUCCCAGUCUGGCUGAAUUAGAAUCACCUGGGGUGCCUUUAAAACUAGAGCUGACUGGGCCAGCACAGACCAAUUAAAUUAGCGUUUUGAGGGAGGGGCUGCCCUGACAUCAGUGUGUUUCAGGACCUCUUCAGGUGAUUUUAUCAGACAUCUGGGUUAAGAGCCAUUGGCCUCAGAAAGUGAUUCUCAAUCAGUUGGUAGCUGGUUGCUGGGCCCCAUCCCACACUUGAAGAUUCCAGGGGCCUGGGGUGGAGUCGGAGAAUUUGCAUUUCUAACAAGUGCCCAGGUGUUGUGGCUGCUGUCUCACCCCUGGGCACUCAGUGAGAAUCCCUGGCUUGGCCCAAGUUUCUUUCAAAGCAAGUUUGAGUGAGUCCAGGUUUUGGGUCCUUCCCAGACUCGGAUCCUGGUUUUGUGGAUUCAGAAUCUUGUUCUGGCCUCGCAGCCAUCUGAUCCUGGACUGGCUACAUCCUCUCUGAGUUUUGGACAACGUCACCUGUCUGGUAACUCACCUCAUGAAUUUUUGUGCUGUAGUGCAGAUACCCCUGUCCACUCAUGAGACGCCAAUGCCCUCCAGCUGAAGACCACCUGCAGCACACCUGGUGUGGAACUUCUGGGUCAUAAGUGUUAAAGAACAACAACCCAGGUCCUAAGAUGGGCCCUCCCUGGUCAUCUGGGAGCUGAACUCACCCUGGGCAGCAUGGGAGAGGGGUUCAGGCUGUGGAGAGAACCCUGAGCUGGAUCAGAAGCCCUUGGUUGGAGGCCCACCACCACCCCUGUGUGAACACGAGCACCUCGCUUGCCCUCUCAGGACUCAGUUUUACCAUCUGAACCUGACAGGAUGAUCUUUCAGAGCCUUUCCCGGCUGUCCCAGGGAAAAGGAAUCGGACUCCUGAGGGGACCCAGAGGGCAGAAGCAGUGCUGCCGAGGGAAGUUUGUAAGCUAGCAGGGACCCAACUUUGGGCUUAACAGAAGGAAGAGUGGCCAGCCUUGUAAACUGUCCACACUUAGAGCCAACAGCCUUGGGAGCUGGUGAGCCCUCAGUCACGGGGAGGGUGUGUCAGGACACUCGUGAGCCUUCCUGCGGCGCUGUGAGACUGGAGUGGAGGGACUAGAUGCUCCACACCCAUUUGUUGAGGGAGAAGGAAAAGUUGAGAGUAGAGAAAUAAUGACUGUCAUGGUCCGGUGACGGGCCUAUCAAAUCGGACAGCUGGGUUCAAGGCCUGAAUCCACUAUUUCUGAGCUGUGCAACCGUGGGUAAGUUACUGGACCUCUUUGCACCUCAGUUCUCUCUUCUGCAGAAUGGACAUAAGGGCAGGGCAGCUGUGAUGAAUGAGAGAGCGAAUGGAGGGGUUGGGACAGGGCCUUGUACACAGUAAGAGCUCAAUAAACGAGACUGGGGGCAUGGGUUAUUUUUCAAGGCACCAGAGAUCCUGGCUUCCUGCAACUCACUGGGCU